GAUGAACGCUGGCGGUAUGCUUAACACAUGCAAGUCGAACGGUGCUUUAGGGCACAGUGGCGGACGGGUGAGUAACGCGUGAGAAUCUGGCUUCAGGUCUGGGACAACCACUGGAAACGGUGGCUAAUACCGGAUGUGCCGAAAGGUGAAAGGUUAACUGCCUGAAGAUGAGCUCGCGUCUGAUUAGCUAGUUGGAAGUGUAAUGGACUCCCAAGGCGACGAUCAGUAGCUGGUCUGAGAGGACGAUCAGCCACACUGGGACUGAGACACGGCCCAGACUCCUACGGGAGGCAGCAGUGGGGAAUUUUCCGCAAUGGGCGAAAGCCUGACGGAGCAAUACCGCGUGAGGGAGGAAGGCUCUUGGGUCGUAAACCUCUUUUCUCAGGGAAGAACACAAUGACGGUACCUGAGGAAUAAGCAUCGGCUAACUCCGUGCCAGCAGCCGCGGUAAUACGGAGGAUGCAAGCGUUAUCCGGAAUGAUUGGGCGUAAAGCGUCCGCAGGUGGCUGUGUAAGUCUGCUGUUAAAGAGUCUAGCUCAACUAGAUAAGAGCAGUGGAAACUACACGGCUAGAGUACGUUCGGGGCAGAGGGAAUUCCUGGUGUAGCGGUGAAAUGCGUAGAGAUCAGGAAGAACACCAGUGGCGAAGGCGCUCUGCUAGGCCGUAACUGACACUGAGGGACGAAAGCUAGGGGAGCGAAUGGGAUUAGAUACCCCAGUAGUCCUAGCCGUAAACGAUGGAUACUAGGCGUGGCUUGUAUCGACCCGAGCCGUGCCGUAGCUAACGCGUUAAGUAUCCCGCCUGGGGAGUACGCCGGCAACGGUGAAACUCAAAGGAAUUGACGGGGGCCCGCACAAGCGGUGGAGUAUGUGGUUUAAUUCGAUGCAACGCGAAGAACCUUACCAAGGCUUGACAUGUCGCGAAUCUCGGUGAAAGCUGAGAGUGCCUUCGGGAGCGCGAACACAGGUGGUGCAUGGCUGUCGUCAGCUCGUGUCGUGAGAUGUUGGGUUAAGUCCCGCAACGAGCGCAACCCUCGUUUUUAGUUGCCAGCAUUAAGUUGGGCACUCUAGAGAGACUGCCGGUGACAAACCGGAGGAAGGUGGGGAUGACGUCAAGUCAGCAUGCCCCUUACGCCUUGGGCUACACACGUACUACAAUGCUCCGGACAGAGGGCAGCAAGCAUGCGAAUGCAAGCAAAUCCCGUAAACCGGAGCUCAGUUCAGAUCGCAGGCUGCAACUCGCCUGCGUGAAGGAGGAAUCGCUAGUAAUUGCAGGUCAGCAUACUGCAGUGAAUUCGUUCCCGGGCCUUGUACACACCGCCCGUCACACCAUGGAAGCUGGUAGUGCCCGAAGUCAUUACUCCAACCUUUCGGGGGGGAGGAUGCCUAAGGCAGGACUGGUGACUGGGGUGAAGUC
rnacentral:rRNA from 1 species